CAAGCAGAGAUGCUAAAUGAAAAUGUGAGUCAGCCACAAGAUUUUGCAAAGAUGUGGGUUUCUAAAAUCAGAGCGGAAGAAACAAACACUUUCCAAGGAAAGGGGGUGACAGCAGAACGUUAUGGCAGGGCAGUUGCAGUGCUAACGGUGGAAACCUCACUCCAUGGCCAAGCAAUAGCAGCAGAGUUUUUAAGGCUCUAUUCGGUGUCUGUGGUGGAAGAUCACCUUCCAGGCAAGAUACCAACAGAUUUGACCGAUUUGAGCUCAAGAGGCAAGAGUAUUGUAUGACUUCAGAAGAACACAGGAGUUGCUAUGCGAGAUGAAACCAGUGGUCCAUCUUGUUCAGAAGGGCUGGUCUACACUACUGCACAGCUGGAGUGCAGGAGUCGACGGGGGAGCAAUCUGCCAUUGAUGUAGCAGGUCUUCACCAGAUCCACUAAACUGACACCACUGCAUCAAUCGCAGCAAUGCUGAUCUACCGGUAAGUGUAGACAUGGCCACUGGUCUUGGAAGCAGCUAGUAUUGACCACUGUUGGAGGAAGGUACAGGAAAACUUGUGGUAGACAGCUAUGUGAUAAU